rnacentral:rRNA from 1 species
GACGAACGCUGGCGGCGUGCUUAACACAUGCAAGUCGAACGGUAAGGCCCCUUCGGGGGUACACGAGUGGCGAACGGGUGAGUAACACGUGGGUAAUCUGCCCUGCACUUCGGGAUAAGCCUGGGAAACUGGGUCUAAUACCGGAUAUGAGCUCCUGCCGCAUGGUGGGGGUUGGAAAGUUUUUCGGUGCAGGAUGAGCCCGCGGCCUAUCAGCUUGUUGGUGGGGUAAUGGCCUACCAAGGCGACGACGGGUAGCCGGCCUGAGAGGGUGAUCGGCCACACUGGGACUGAGACACGGCCCAGACUCCUACGGGAGGCAGCAGUGGGGAAUAUUGCACAAUGGGCGAAAGCCUGAUGCAGCGACGCCGCGUGGGGGAUGACGGUCUUCGGAUUGUAAACCCCUUUCAGUAGGGACGAAGCGCAAGUGACGGUACCUGCAAAAGAAGCACCGGCCAACUACGUG